rnacentral:tRNA from 1 species
GUCCUGAUAGUAUAAUUAUUACACUGGUCUUGUAAACCAGCAAUGAAAUAAAAACUUUUCUCAGGAUA